rnacentral:rRNA from 4 species
GGGAUUGCCCUAGUAACGGCGAGUGAAGCGGCAACAGCUCAAAUUUGAAAUCUGGCGCAAGCCCGAGUUGUAAUUUGUAGAGGAUGCUUCUAGGCAGCGGCCGGUCUAAGUUCCUUGGAACAGGACGUCAUAGAGGGUGAGAAUCCCGUAUGUGACCGGCGCGCACCUUCUACGUAGCUCCUUCGACGAGUCGAGUUGUUUGGGAAUGCAGCUCUAAAUGGGAGGUAAAUUUCUUCUAAAGCUAAAUACCGGCCAGAGACCGAUAGCGCACAAGUAGAGUGAUCGAAAGAUGAAAAGUACUUUGGAAAGAGAGUUAAAAAGCACGUGAAAUUGUUGAAAGGGAAGCGCCUGCAACCAGACUUCGCGGCAGUGUUCGGCCGGUCUUCUGACCGGUUUAUUCUCUGUCGCGAGGCCAUCAUCGUCUGGGCCCGCCGGAUAAGACCUUGGGAAUGUAGCUCUCCUUCGGGGGAGUGUUAUAGCCCAUGGUGAUGCGGCGAGGCUCGGGCGAGGUCCGCGCUUCGGCAAGGAUGAUGGCGUAAUGGUUGUCGGCGGCCCGUCUUGAAACACGGACCAAGGAGUCUAACAUCUAUGCGAGUGUUCGGGUGUCAAACCCCUACGCGUAAUGAAAGUGAACGGAGGUGGGAACCGCAAGGUGCACCAUCGACCGAUCCUGAUGUCCUCGGAUGGAUUUGAGUAAGAGCAUAGCUGUUGGGACCCGAAAGAUGGUGAACUAUGCCUGAAUAGGGUGAAGCCAGAGGAAACUCUGGUGGAGGCUCGCAGCGGUUCUGACGUGCAAAUCGAUCGUCAAAUUUGGGUAUAGGGGCG